UAUGUCUUUUUUACAUUCUCUUAUUGUAUAGUUAUAUCUUAUAUUUUAUAUUUGAUCUAGAUUUUUAGGCUGUACUGUUAGUGUUAUCUGUAUGCACCGGGGGUCUGUGAGUAAUGCAAUUUCGAUUCUCUGUAUGUAUGUACUGUACACGUGGAAGAAUUGACAAUAAAGCAGACUUGACUUGACUUGACUUGACUUUGGACCACUGGGCAACAGUCCAGUUCUUCUUCUCCUUAGCCCAGGUAAGACGCCUCUGAUGUUGUCUGUGGUUCAGGAGUGGCUUAACAAGAGGAAUAUGACAACUGUAGCCAAAUUCCUUGACAUGUCUGUGUGUGGUGUCUCUUGAUGCCUUGACCCCAGCCUCAGUCCAUUCCUUGUGAAGUUCACUCAAAUUCUUGAAUCGAUUUUGCUUGACAAUCCUCAUAAGGCUGGGGUUCUCUCGGUUGGUUGUGCAUCUUUUCCUUCCACACUUUUUCCUUCCACUCAACUUUGUUAACAUGCUUGGAUACAGCACUCUGUGAACAGCCAGCUUCUUUGGCAAUGAAUGUUUGUGGCUUACCCUCCUUGUGAAGGGCGUCAAUGAUUGUCUUCUGGACAACUGUCAGGUCAGCAGUCUUCCCCAUGAUUGUGUAGCCUAGUGAACCAAACUGAGAGACCAUUUUGAAGGCUCAGGAAACCUUUGCAGGUGUUUUGAGUUGAUUAGCUGAUUGGCAUGUCGCCAUAUUCUAAUUUGUUGAGAUAGUGAAUUUGUGGGUUUUUGUUAUACAUGUAUAAUUCAAAAAUCAGCAAAUAUUGUUCAAUCACGUUGGCUUGAAUUGUUUUAGAUGAUCCAGAACCCUUGGCAGAUGUCACAUAUUCAGAGGUCACUGUUAAGAAAAAAGAUGGACAAAGAAGAUACCAUUGCAGAGUCAAAUAAUGUGACAUACUCAGAAGUCGGGAAAAGAGGAAAGAAAUGCAAAAGCAAAGAUAUUAAUACUGCAUUACCCAGCGAUUUGACUUACGCACAGAUCAAUAUACAGGACAAGAAGAAAACCAAAGGCAAAGGUGCUGGACUUUCUGAUGUUCUGAUUGAAAUGAAAACUAAGAACAAACACAGAGGGAAGAGCAGUGAGUCUGGAGACACUUUGUACUCUGAACUGAAGCAGAACACAGACAGAGAUGCUGAUGCUGAAGUUGGUGAUGCAACCUAUGCUCAAUCUAUUAAGAAAAAGAAUAAAACACAUGCUGAUGCUGAAGUUGGUGAUGCAACCUAUGCUCAAUCUAUUAAGAAGAAGAAUAAAACACGUAAGAAUUUGCACUUGUUCCUGCAGAUUGUGGCACAUAUUGGUUCUCUUACAUUAUAAAUUUGCAAUUAUUAUCAAUCUACUAUUAUAGCCUAUUAAUUGAAUAACAUAUAUAAAUAUAUAUUAUACUGUCUUAAUUGUUAACAUUUUUCAUAAUGCAUUAUCUUCUUAUCGAUCCACUAGUUCACAUUUACAACUCUGCAUGUUUGCUGGAUAAAAACAUGGGUUGAUUUUCACUUUUAUCUGAACAAAAGCAGUCAGGCUUAUUAAAAAAUGCACAUUAAUUAUCUGCCAGCAGGAGGCGCUUUUGGAACAGCAGAAAUACAGGGGUUUCCACGGUAACAGCAAUAGGGCAGCACAGCAGCUGUUUUUGAACCGUGCAGUGCUCAUUUUUAUUCAAUAAAAUCAUAGCCUUUCAAAGUUUAAUUGUCACACUAAGCCAUAUCGCAAUUCUAGUUUUAAUGGCAUCCCCAAAUUUAAGAGGUUUUAUGGCCUUAAAUUUGAUACAGCUAAAUGUAAGACUUUUUUAAGGACCCAUCAACUUUUUUUAAGUUUUGAGAAUGCCAUUGUUUUUCACUCACUGGAAGUUUCAUCUGUCUGUGCGCCUGUAAAGAUAGUCCACUGAAGACGAGUGUAGUGAGAACCCAAGUGCAGUUUAUUUACAAGGUGAUAAUCCAAACAUCCAAACAAUAAAAAAAGACUUGACUUGAACAGACUUGAACAAACGUGAACAGACUUGACUAGACCUGACUUGGCUUGACUUGAACAGACUUGACAAGGCUUGAACAGACUUAGCAUGAAACAGACUUGACUUGACAUAGACUGGACUCACCGACAGCAGGUUACAACAUUAAUACACGACAAGAGACAAUGGCAAAGACAUGGCUACUUAUACAGACAAUGAGGGUCACGUGACAUGAACAAACCAAUGGGAAACAAGACACAUGGCUAAAGCAACCAAUGAGCAAACAGAACUGAUAAUCACAUGACAAGACAGUAACCAAUGAGAACAUGACACAUACACAAGGCAGAGAUACAUGAGGGCAAGGGAAGCAUGACACAAACAGCAUAAAUCAAACUACAAAAUAAAAGACAUGAAAACAAUAAACAAGAAACAAAACUCAAAACAGACCGUACAGUGCCGCUCUCUUCACUGCACGCACGACUGCACUUCUGACCGUAGCAACAGUUAACUGUAAUAGUAGCCUGUGGUGCCGUAGGACCUAAGCGGCUGUACUGAGCUACCCUUGAUGUGCUUGAUAUACAUUUCAUUAUGUUAGAAAAUAGCAUUUGGCAUUUAUUUAUUUCAUUAUGUCAAAAGGCUUCGCAGUCCGGAUGGAUGCAUCUCGCGGUCCGGGUUCGGACCGGGGUCCGCCAGUCGGUGACCCCUGCACUAACCUUGCGAAAUAACCAUCAUGCACCAUUUACAACAGUGUAAUAAAUAGUGUAACUGGGCAUUUAGUUGAUAAAAUUCAAUACAAUGUGUUCUUUGUCUUAUAAAAGAAUGCCUGUGUUUUUGCCAAGUCAUUAACACAGAUGAAGAUGAUUUUUCUUAAAUGCAUGUAUUUUCAGUAAGAACCAUAAAGAAAUUAAUAAUUGUAUGCAAGGGCAUUGUUUUAAGAAAACAUUUUAAAUGUCUUACAUUUAUAUUCUUAAUAUGGUUAAAAUUUUUAUAACUGUUUUGCAGAUAUGUUCUCAGUUGUUCACUCAUUGAUUUUAUAGGAUUUGCGAUCGCUUUAGACUUAGAGUAUUAAAUGUGGAAACUGUAUAAAUAAAGCUCUGUUUAAACUUUACUUGCUUUUUUUUUUUUACAACACUGAGUUCAUUUUUAUAAACAUUAUAAAAAAUGUCAUAUAUGUACACUGAAAAAAAGCGCAAUAAAAUAAAAGAUUCUCUUUCUCUGGAUCA
rnacentral:lncRNA from 1 species